rnacentral:lncRNA from 1 species
AGAACCCAGAAUGUGAUUCGCAGGACCUGUCGCAUAAUUUCACAACCAAGCAUUCUUGCAUUCUUCUUUGUACCUGAAUCGUAGAAAGUUCUGGAAAAAGCUAGGAGCCUCCUCAUGACCUCUCCUGCCAGAAGCAAUGAUCCCGGAGAACUGAUACUUGCGGAGUGGGGAGUUCAAAAAAGUCAGUGACCAAAACCCCCUCAUGCCAUAAAUGCUAUUGCCUCCUCUGGUCCAGAGUUUCUCAUCCUCCACACCAUUGACAUCUUGGGCUGGAUAAUUCUUUAUUGUAGGGGGCUGUCCUGUGCAUUGUAGGAGGCCUCCACCCACUAGAUGCCAGUUGCAACCUGCCCCCGACGUUGUGACAAUCAAAAAGUCUCUGGACAUUGCCAAAUGCCCUCUUGGGGAGAGGGCAGGGAGCACAUAUCCGCAUGACAACGUACAGAACCGACUUAUAAUAUUAUUAUUGUUUUAUUUUAUAUGCUGGGGCCAAUCCAGGAUAAACUCAUUAUAGCUGCCUUGUUCUCUGUCCACCAAGUACUGUCCAAAAACACAUAGUGGUGAUUGACAUCUC